rnacentral:ncRNA from 1 species
AUUCUCAGGGCGGAGUGAAAUUCUCCACCGGUGGUGUUUCUAAAUAGAUAAGUCCACGAGCACAUCUUGUGUUGAUUUGGUUAGAGUCCAAAACCGACGGUUAUAGUCCGGAUGGAAGAGAAU